GGCCUCGUAGUUCAUUUGGCUAGAGUGUUGGCUGUAGUAAAACCUUAUCAUUGCUGACGUGGGUUCAAAUCACACCGAGGCCA
rnacentral:tRNA from 1 species